UACGGAAGGCAGCAGUGGGGAAUAUUGCACAAUGGGCGAAAGCCUGAUGCAGCUAUGCCGCGUGUAUGAAGAAGGCCUUAGGGUUGUAAAGUACUUUCAUCGGGGAGGAAAAAACAAAACUAAUAAUUUUAUUUCUUGACGUUACCCGAAAAAGAAGCACCGGCUAACUCCGUGCCAGCAGCCGCGGUAAUACGGAGGGUGCUAGCGUUAAUCAGAAUUACUGGGCGUAAAGAGCACGUAGGUGGUUUUUUUAAGUCAGAUGUUGAAAUCCCUGGGCUUAACCUAGGAACUGCAUUUUGAAACUGAAAUACUAGAGUAUCGUAGAGGGAGGUAGAAUUCUAGGUGUAGCGGUGAAAUGCGUAGAUAUCUGGAGGAAUACCUGUGGCGAAAGCGGCCUCCUAAACGAAUACUGACACUGAGGGUGCGAAAGCGUGGGGAGCAAACAGGGAUUAGGAUACC
rnacentral:rRNA from 1 species